AUGCCAUAUGUAGAUCUUUCAUCUGGAAUGACACUCUUUAUGAACAGGAUGUAUAGAGCUAUGAUAGAUGAUAGAAAUCGAGUUCCUUGGAUGGAGGUGCAACAUGACCCCCUUCAUUGGCAAGAAGAACUAUCGUGGACUAUGGGCCAAAACGAAAAAGAAAGGCUAGAAACGGGCUUUGUUAAAGCUGGCUUUCACCGAAACAGUAUAUGGUAUUUGACUUUAUAG